UGUCCUCUUUGUUUCAAAGUUAAACUAUGAGUAAGUUCCUCUCAAAGUUAGUUUGGCCUACACCCAAGAAUGAACAAGGACAGGUUAGACUCUAAUCUAGAAAUCUAGAAGCAAGAUGGAGUUGGUUAGGGCAGAUUUUUUUUUUUUUUUGAGACAUAGUUUCGCUCUGUCAUCCAGGCUGGAGUGCAGCGGCGCGAACUCUGGCUCACUGCAAGCCCCGCCUCCCAGGUUCGCGCCAUUUUCCUGCCUCAGCCUCCUGAGUAGCUGGGUCUACAGGCGCCCGCCAUCACGCCCGGCUAAUUUUUUGUGCUUUUAAUAGAGAUGGGGUUUCACCGUGUUAGCCAGGAUGGUCUUGAUCUCCUGACCUCAUGAUCCGCCCUCCUCGGCCUCCCAAAGUGCUGGGAUUACAGGUGUGAGUCACCGCGCUCGGCCAGGGCAAAUCUCUUUAACUAUUAUAAUUUUCUCAGUUAUAAUCUUGCCAUGGUGGUUUCAAAAGGUGACUGGAAGAAAGCGGAAGGAAUGCUUGCCUCAUCUUGCAGACAUCAGGUGCAUUCCUGAGAAGCUACAGGUGCACAACCUUAGUCAGGCUCUGGGGAUACAGAAGUAACAAGAAGACCAGACCCUUGUUCCAAUGGAGGAGACAUCCUGUUGGAAGUACCCCAAAGGAAUAUCUAUCUACCCAUCUGUCCUGCCACAAAACAGAUCAUUCUCAACAGCAGUGGAAAUAGAAUCAGCUCCAUUGCCUGGGAAUCAUUCUUGUCAGGAGUGCUUUCGUUCUAACCUAGGUAAAGAUACAAGAUGAAUAAUGAAAUCUACUUGGUUUCAAUGAGGUUGUCACUGGAAAUGUGACGUGGAACUCUCUACCUUCUGACAGCCUGUACUAGUGCUGGACAGCUCUAAUUUUUGGCAAUCUCAUUCUUCUAUUGAUCUGAAGUCUGUCUCCCUUCUAUAUCAG
rnacentral:lncRNA from 1 species